GCUUGCUUCAGCAACGCAUAUACUAGAACGGAAAUAAUGCAGGGAAGAUUAGCAUGGCCCUUGAACAAGGAUGACAUAUAAAUUCAUGAGGCAUUCCAUGUUUUU